rnacentral:rRNA from 1 species
UACGUAGGUGGCAAGCGUUGUUCGGAAUCACUGGGCGUAAAGCGCACGUAGGCGGAUUGCUAAGUCAGGGGUGAAAUCCUGGAGCUCAACUCCAGAACUGCCUUUGAUACUGAGGAGCUCGAGUCCGGGAGAGGUGAGUGGAACUGCGAGUGUAGAGGUGAAAUUCGUAGAUAUUCGCAAGAACACCAGUGGCGAAGGCGGCUCACUGGCCCGGUACUGACGCUGAGGUGCGAAAGCGUGGGGAGCAAACAGG